rnacentral:rRNA from 1 species
AUUGAACGCUGGCGGAAUGCUUUACACAUGCAAGUCGAACGGUAGAGGGGGCAACCCCUUGAGAGUGGCGAACGGGUGAGUAAUAUAUCGGAACGUGCCCAGUCGUGGGGAUAACGUAGCGAAAGUUACGCUAAUACCGCAUACGAUCUAUGGAUGAAAGCGGGGGAUCGCAAGACCUCGCGCGAUUGGAGCGGCCGAUAUCAGAUUAGGUAGUUGGUGAGGUAAAGGCUCACCAAGCCGACGAUCUGUAGCUGGUCUGAGAGGACGACCAGCCACACUGGGACUGAGACACGGCCCAGACUCCUACGGGAGGCAGCAGUGGGGAAUUUUGGGACAAUGGGCGAAAGCCUGAUCCAGCAAUGCCGCGUGCAGGAAGAAGGCCUCGG